UGAUAUAAAAUGUCAUCACUGGGGCUAUGAGCUGAGUGCUUUGUGUCACUCUACCCCAUGUCCCCUGGGAAGGUUUGAGACAGGCCAAAAGUGACCCUAACAGGGUCCUCCUUGAGUUUCAGGGAGGUGAGUUCCCAGAGAUCAGGUCUCUGCCUAAGGUUGGACUGGGCAGGAGAUGCCCUGGUCCCCACCCUUGGGGAGGAGGCUGGCAGAUGCCUCCUUAGCUGGAGCUUGGAACAGACUUGCGGCCAGCAAGUGAGUUCAAUGGCUGAGCUGAGGUACCCUGCCCAGGGGCCUCAGAACCCAAUUCAGGCUACUCUCCUAGUUUA
rnacentral:RNase_P_RNA from 1 species